UUUUUUACUUGACAGUGGAGAUACCAUGAUCAUGAAGGUGGUUUGCUCAUGGCAAGGCUUAUCCACUGUACUAUAGUUUGCUUACCUCUGUGAUUCCGCAAAUUCUGGAAAACCAACUGGAUAACUUUUGGUAGCAGGGAACUGUGUUCACAUUCUCUCC
rnacentral:snRNA from 1 species